UACGUAGGGUGCAAGCGUUGUCCGGAAUUAUUGGGCGUAAAGAGCUCGUAGGCGGUCUGUUACGUCGGCUGUGAAAACCUGGGGCUCAACUCCGGGCCUGCAGCCGAUACGGGCAGACUAGAGUUCGGCAGGGGAGACUGGAAUUCCUGGUGUAGCGGUGAAAUGCGCAGAUAUCAGGAGGAACACCGGUGGCGAAGGCGGGUCUCUGGGCCGAAACUGACGCUGAGGAGCGAAAGCGUGGGGAGCGAACAGG
rnacentral:rRNA from 1 species